GUAGGUGGCAAGCGUUGUCCGGAAUUAUUGGGCGUAAAGCGCGCGCAGGCGGUUCUUUAAGUCUGAUGUGAAAGCCCACGGCUCAACCGUGGAGGGUCAUUGGAAACUGGAGAACUUGAGUACAGAAGAGGAAAGCGGAAUUCCACGUGUAACGGUGAAAUGCGUAGAGAUGUGGAGGAACACCAGUGGCGAAGGCGGCUUUCUGGUCUGUAACUGACGCUGAGGCGCGAAAGCGUGGGGAGCAAACAGGGAUUAGAUACCCUGGUAGUCCACGCCGUAAACGAUGAGUGCUAAGUGUUAGGGGGUUUCCCGCCCCUUAGUGCUGCAGCUAACGCAUUAAGCACUCCGCCUGGGGAGUACGGCCGCAAGGCCG
rnacentral:rRNA from 1 species